UACGGGGGGGGCAAGCGUUGUUCGGAAUUACUGGGCGUAAAGGGCUCGUAGGCGGCCAACUAAGUCAGACGUGAAAUCCCUCGGCUUAACCGGGGAACUGCGUCUGAUACUGGAUGGCUAGAGGUUGGGAGAGGGAUGCGGAAUUCCAGGUGUAGCGGUGAAAUGCGUAGAUAUCUGAAGGAACACCGGUGGCGAAGGCGGCAUCCUGGACCAAUUCUGACGCUGAUGAGCGAAAGCCAGGGGAGCAAACGGG
rnacentral:rRNA from 1 species